CUCAAGGUAGUAGAAGAAAAUACGUCAGAGUUAAGAUUUGAAGAUGGGUUUAUACUCCCUUGAGA
rnacentral:tRNA from 1 species